rnacentral:lncRNA from 1 species
CGGAGACCCUGGACGUGUCCGAGCGCGGAGCAAAAACUUUUCACAGCCGCAAAACCUUUGCAAAAAAAAGUUCUUUCAGCAGCAAACGCCCCCCGUCCCUGCGUGUCUCCAUGUGCUCCCCAUAAGACUGCUGGGUUCCAGCCACGGGCGGCCCGACAGGGGCUCUGUGUCCCCCCCCCCCAGCUCCCAUGGGGGUGCGGGGACAGGGACGGGGUGCUGCGCAUGCAGGCUGAGCACCCAGCCCUGCUGGUGCCCUGGGGCACGGACGGUGCCAACGCUCCCCACCGCAGCCAUGCGCGCGCUCCGCGGCGGCUCCCCAGAGCCCCUCGCCACCAGCCCCACACCUGGGGGUCCGUGUGCCUUCCCGGUGGGGUUGUGGCCCCCCGGGGAGCGCCUGCCCCCACCCCAGGCACUGAACCAGGGUGGCAGGCACCCGGUGACUGGCACAGCUCUCCCAGUCCCUUCCCUCCCCAGCACCAGAUCGGCCACCGCGCGCUCCCCAGCCGUGCCCACCGGCACCGCACAUGCCCACGUGUCCCUGUGCCACCACUCGUGGGGACAGAGCCACCACUUCCACGGCUCCUGCUGCAUCAGGGGGCCCAAAAGUGGUGCCCCACAAGGUCCUGCUGCUGCCUGGGCCCCUCCACCCCUGCGGCACCACCCCGCGGCGCUGCCCUGAGCCUUCCCCUGCGCGAGCAGCUCCACGAGGCCGCUCCCAUGGGGCAGGAGCGCAGGGACGGCACCAGCAGGGACAUGGGGACAGCCCUGCCCGGCUGCAGCGGGGUUGGGACGUGCGGGGUGGUGGCCGGGGGCAUCGCCCACACCGUGGGAGCCGGGGAAGCCAGCAGGGAGCUGGGCUCCGCGCGGCCACGCUCCCCUUGUUAUUGCAGCUGCUGCAGCGAGCCCCGGGGGCCAUCCCAGAGCUGCGCGGCACCGGGAGCUGGCGGGGGGGGAGCACGGGGACAAGUGCACCGCGGGGCCUCGACCGCAGCCGUGCCGGACCCCGAGCGCUGCCAGGGCAGGAGGAGCUGGCGGGGGCCGCGGGGAGGGGGGGGGACACGCUUCCCUCCGGCCGCUGCGCCGCUCUCGGACUUUCCUCGGCGCAGGGAGGCGGGACAGGCCCGCGGCACGCCGGGAGCCGUAGUCCCAGGGCCAGCGCAGCUUGCCCACGGGGGGGGCUGCCCACGGGGAGGGGGGCCGCCCGCUGCCCCCGCCUCGCCCCCCGCGCGCUCACCUGGGCAUGCUUGCGCUUCCGCCCGGGCCGCCCGGCUUUCCUCAUGGGCGUCCCCGGAUCCUGCUUCUCCUCCUUGCUCUGGUUCUCCUCGGGCUCCUCUUCCCCCUGCGAGCCGGAGACAGAAGGACGGUUACGCUGCCGGCCCCGGGGCCGCGCACCCCGGGCGCCUGCUCACGGCUCCGCUCCUGCCUGCUGCGGGGCUCGCUGGCACCCAUGGGUGCCAUGGGCACGCGGGGCACCUUGCACCAGCCCUGCUUUGCUUGGACGAACCCAGUUCCUCCUGGGGGGCCUGGCUGGGACCCUCCACGACUCCCCGUGCCCUUGGGGGGGCUCAAAGGGUGAGCGUGACCUCUGCCAGGGCUUGGGGCCAGCCCUCGCCAUGGGGCUGGGCGCACCGCUGUGGGGCCGGGCACCUCGGCCUGGCAAUGCAGCUCCAUGUGCCAAGCAGUGCCACCACCUGGGGGGGUCACACCAGCCCCCACAACCUGCCGGAGCCCUGCACGUGUGGGGCUGGGGGCUCCUGCACCCCCUGCACACCCCACUCAGGGCUGUGUGGCCCCCACAGCCCCCAAGGGACACGGGCAGGGUGCAGGAACCAGCACGCCAGCAGCCGCCUGCUCUUCCCCACCACCCGCAGCGCUUUGGGGGCCCCUCCCCUGGUCCCCCCCCCGGGCUCUGCCCCAGGAAAGGAACCGGCUCCCUGCGCCCAGCACCGCGGCACGGCCAGGGACGUGCCCGUGCCCGGAGAGGCGGUGUCGGGGGCCGGGGCUGCCGCGUCCCGCGGCGGUGGGGAGCGUUUCACCUGAGCCCCAGAAGAUCUCGGCCGCGGCCAAGGCAGGAAGAGGCCGCGGAGGGGGGAGCGGGGAAGGCGGAGAGGCCGGCGGGGGGGCGGCGAGGGAGAGGCCGGGGAGGGGAUGGGAGCUGGCAGCCAGACAGCUCCGACAUCCAGCUGCACUCGCCCGGCCCCGGCCGCAUUCCUGCCCAGGGGCUGCCCGUGGCAGGGGCGCUGCGUUUGGUGCCGGUGGCACCCGGCACGGGCCGAGCGGGGCUGCCCAGGGGGGGUCCAGCCUGUGGGGGGGCAUGUGCCAUGCCCUAGGGUCAGUGUCCAGAAGAAGCUCCCCGCUCUGAGCCACCCCCCUGCAGGCCCACGUCCCCUGCACGGACCCAAACUGGGCACGGAGAGAGGGCUCGGGG